rnacentral:lncRNA from 1 species
AGCCGGUGCUGCCUCCACACCUCUAACACACCAGGCGCGGUCUGCUUUACUCCCACCGGAGUGCUCUGCAGCCUUCCCAGCCAUCUCCAAGUUGCUUCCCAAAACUUCUGGGCCUCCAGCAAGAAGGAGACUAUUCUUGCACGAUCUACCCCCACGGACAAAGCAUUUUGACGGAACAGCUCUUCCAAACACCUCUUCUGGAAAGCAGCCCAGACAUAGAAGAUGCUGAGGGUCUGGUGAGGAGGCAGAAAGCUCCUGCUGCAUCAGUGUCACAGAGAAGGCUCCAGAGACUGUACUGGUGCCCACAGUGCAAGACCUGGGUCCGAGGGAAGGCCCACAGUAGCCCUGCCUCGGGCUCCCUGCUGCCUGGAGCCCAGCCCACACCACCCAACCACCUCC